rnacentral:tRNA from 1 species
GGUCAUUUAGCUCAAUUUGGGAGAGCACUUCCCUUACAAGGAAGAGGUUACAAGUUCAAGUCUUGUAAUGAUCACCA